GGGGUUCUUAUUUUUUGUCAGCGUCAGCCAUGUCAUAGGAAGUCCUGAGGGGAGCAGAUCGACCAAGAAUAUCGCAAGGUUUCCCCCAUGCGCUGGAAUGCGUUGAAAAUGCUUUUGACCACACCGGGGUUCGCAUCGUUUGGAGCGUAGAUUAGCACCAACCACUAAAAAGGGUCCUGGUGCGUUGUUUGGGGUGUGAUAUUAAUCAAAGUCACCCCGGAGUGUGUGCGGAGAACCAUAUGGCCAGGUGAGGUUCCCAGAGGGAGGUCGCCGGUUGAUUGUCGAUCAACAAAGUCGAUGCAUCAACCCCCACGAUCAGAGCAUCGCGGCACAUAAUGCGUGGCCGGUGUGAGCGGGCAGAACAAAACCGAGCCGUUCACGAACGAGGAUGAUCGUAUUGAGGGGGAAUGCUGAAGGCAGCAAUCGAUCGAUCAUUCAUAAUCAACCGAUGGUCGUAUCGCAGCUUGAAAUUGAUGGACCCCACCGUGCCGGUCCUUCGUCACCGGACGUUUUGGCCGGGGCCAUCUCGUUUGUUUGUCAUUUGUUAGCAGCAUGCAUGCAUCUUGGCUCCAUACCACUCUGCGGCGAGCGAGCAUCAACAGCAACAGCUACAACAUCACGGCAUGCACGAACAAUCGCGACUUUGCCUUUGCAUGACCUUUUCACGCCGGCACUGCCGAGAUGGUGUGGCGUCUCGAUGUGGGGUGUCCCAUUCUUCCCAACGUUUUCCCCCGCCCGCUUUGCCGUGAGUUUUUUUUUUUCGGUGCGAGAACGAAAGGGAAUACUCGGGCUGCCCUACACGGUUGGUACGGCGUUUAUUUGCGUUUUGCGAGCCGCGAGAGUCGAUUAAUUAACGGUUUUUAUGCAACCCGCUAGGAUUCCGCUGCCACGACACAAAACGUUGCACGCCGAUCUUCAUUUGCUCGGUUUUGUUUUGCUCAAACAUCCCAUUUGCCCCAUUUCCUGGCGGGGGCCUCUUAGCGCGACGACUGCCGGAGAUGGAUUUUCUUGCCGAGCACACGCACACACACACUCACAUGCGUCCCAGUCAGGGGAGGGAAACAGAGACCCGCCAGCAGGGGAAUGGCGAAGCAUGCAACGACGUUCCUGCGAGUGAGAUCGCACUUUUGGCGACACCGGAAUGCUUAAGUGGUGCCAUAGCGUAACGCGUUCGGUUGCCCAGCGUGCACCAGGGAAGCAAAAAAGCGCAAGGUCGCGUCCCGCUGAUCCGUGUGCACCAUCUUCAUCGUCACCAUCCCAGGAAAGAGCCAGAGCGGGCCCCGGGCCUUCACAACACGCCAACUCGUUUGCGGUUCAUUCACAGAGCGUAUGGUGUACGUGGCCCGAAAGAUCGGCCCGAAAACAGCUGCGCGCGCGGACGAGAGUGCGGACGAGAGCGCGAAAGUCAUUAAAAUGUGCGGCCCGUUUAACGAUAGGCGACCGACCGGGCGUACCGUACCGAAUCAUCCAUUCCCUUCAGACACGAAACACACACACACACCCGAGCGAAGAUCAUUCAACAUUUUAUGUCAUUCCUCAAAUCGACUGUUCCCUGAGAGCGCGCUCUUGAUUCCGCCAUCAGCCCACCAUUAUCGUACGGUGUGGAUCGCAUUUCGUGUGUGCACCCUUGUCCACACACCGGCAAACACACACACGCACACACCGGAGGAAAACCAUAACCGGUCCGGGAAAAUCUUCGGUGCACGCGAGCGAGAGACAGAGACCAGAAGAGCCCAGAUCAGGCAGCGGGUGAUAAAACCGCGAGCGUGCGCGCGGCAUUCGGACAACUUUAUGGCCGUUUUAAGAGGCUGUAAAAAAAACGAAGGUGGCAAGGCGUGUGCUAUCUGCCCGAUUCCCGUGUCGCGAUGCCUUAACGCCGAGAUUCUGGGACUCGUUUCGGUUGACGAACGGGGCGAUCCUUGGGAGUCGUCUGCCGUGCCGUGCCUUGCCGGUGGAAAAGUCGUGCUUGUUGAUAUCUCCCGCUUACUUCAGACACCGCACUUCAGGACAUUCCCACACCCCCAGAAUAUCGCCGACUUCGACGACUCGUUUGUUGGAUGCUGUACGAAUGCUGUGGUUCUUGCUUGCCGUGUGUGAUUCUAGUGCCGUAUCUUAUGUCCUCAUCCUUAAGCGUACGAGUGUGUGAGUUCACAAUGACCGAUGGGUUUCGAUACUCAAGAGGGCUCGUUUUACACUCGUAAUGCGGGGUAGAAUACGAACAAGAAUGAGGUGGGAAUAUUGAUUGAUUCUAGGUCAUUUCUAGUCUGACCGUAAUCAAUCCCUUGGGAUCGAGAGGGCAGCAUGGAUAUCUCUCUCUCCCCCUCCCUGCUUCGUACUGUCCGGUCAUUACUGAUGUGAUGUUAUUUUUUUAUUUAUUUCGUUCUUUCCCGCAAGAACUUGCUCUGGGUUGCGAGCUGCGUCAUCAGCAUCCCACGGUAAGCGCCCACACUCGGGAAACACUCACCGAACGCAUGUUGACCCUCUAAUAAAGAGACGGACCAGCAAAUAAAGUUAAACCCAAUUUUACCUUCCACUUUGAAGAACUACAGACACAUAGCAAAAAACAAAAUCGAGAUCUCCAGACGACACUCAUCGAAACCGCAAGGUUGGACAUCUCGCCGUCAGUGCUUUGCAACACGAUCUCGUGCUCCGCUCUUUCGGGCGGGUGUAUGCUGCCUGUCUUUUAUAUACUUUAAAAAAGACUUUCAUUACGCUGGACGGAUGGGUGGAUGAGCUGUCCGUUGGAAGGUGUUUACCACGGGCACAACCCACAUCAUUUAAGGAACAGCAGUAGCCGGCGCGGGGACGACCGACGAAAAUCGAUAGGACAAUGUGUGCAUUGUUUAACCGCCGUCUGGACUAUUAUUGUGUGUUACGCGCAUUUCGCGAAUUCCAUGGACACACAUUCCAGCCGAGGGAGGGUGGCCAGUACAACAAAAAAGUGGAUCAUGAUGUUGCGCAUCAAGAUAACGGUGGGAAGGAGGCUUCUUGCUGCCAGAAGUGUGUGUGUGUGUGUGACGUUUCUUAUGCUUGCACCAACUUUUUCGGGGCGGUUUUUUGGUCCCUUACGAACGCGGCCAAGUCUAAACGGCACGACUGCGUGACUGGGCAAAAAUGUAAAUUUUGCUGAUGACCCAUCCGUUUCAGCCCAACGUGUCCCCUUCAAUGUUUGGCAGUUGGAGUUUUGGUAGGGUUUUUUUUAUGGAGUCCAGUGCAAUUGUAAUCUUUACAUUAAACACUUGACAUUGAACCUAUAGACCUCCGAAGAUAUUUCCUUUCCUUGGAAACCUCACAACAAACCUUUCCUCGAAGGCUGACUCAUUUAGCGCAUUUGUUGGCAGGUGUCCAAACAAAACAAAUCAAAAUUAAUCACCUAUCGGUUUUUGGGCCGUUCGCGUUCGCUCGGCUCGGGCUCGUUCCCAUUUUUCAAACGACUCAUCGAAUGUUUCGCCCGGGUCAAGCAUCCGAAUGACCGCAGCACAAUAAUUAUAGGGCUAGUGUGGUGCACUUAAGUUAUUUUCAAUCAAAAGAUACCAUCAAAUUUCGUUUUCAUUUUGAUCCCGCUUGUACAGCUUCAUCUGCAUAUUUAUAUGCCCGUGUGAAACGGAGCAUUCGUCCGAAUGUUGCAGGUCCCCUGGAUUUUUUUUAACGUCCCAAGCAGACUGCAGUGGACGAAUCUGACUGCACCGAUCAGAAUUAUGAUGUGCCUGUAUCAGGUUGUCGAUUCAAUGCCCCAAUGUCGAACCCAAAGCCGAGGACCCAAUGUCUGAGGUUCUAAACACAUUAAAAUAAAUGUAUUCUCUUCGGUGUCUCUGCCCCGAUCGUUCGAUUCUGAUCCACCCACCCCGGUUUUCGAGUACGUUCGUGUGGACCGUUUGCCACCACAAGCAAAAAAAAAUAAAGGCAGCACAAAAACGCCCGAGUCGCAAAGCAUGGAAAGGUGGAACGGAAAACGGAACACCAAAUAAAAUUUCUUUUCCAGAUGACACUAAUCUGAUUUUCUUCUUGAUGCGUUUCUUCAAGCUUAACACACAUUCUUCGCCUCGGUUUGUUGAUCUUCGCUGCGGGCUUUUUGGAGUUAUUCUGUGGAGUGUUGCCGUUGUGUGUUGGUUUGGAAUCUUAUUUUAUUCGUUCCCCCGGUGCACGGUUGUUGUUGUGAUUGUUGUUGAGUUGUUUUUUUUUUGUUCUUGUUACACCGCCGGUUCUUGCUUGUUAGUGCGCGCGCAUAUCAGCUCUGUUGGUUAGAAAUUUUGGACCUCGCAGGCCGCGCCAGAACAAAACGGGCACCGUGCGCAACAGACGCACAGAACUUAUAAUGCCCUUGGUAACCCUCAGCCACCGUGAGCCAUUUGCACAGUACGACAGAGGGUUUUGGGAUGCGUUUGGAUCGAGGGAUUUUUUUUUUCGCCUCCCGAUGUUGUUGUUCGUUCUUUGUUGCUAAAAAGAAAGAAGAAAAAAAAGUUCGCUCGUUCCUUGCCGGGACGGUUAUUUUAAUGCCGUUUUGGUUUGGUUUUGUUGGUCGGUUAAAGUGAUCAAUGCGAAUUGUGUGUGUGUGUGUGUGUGUGUGUGUGUGUGUGUGUGUGUGUGUGUGAUGCUGUUCGAGGUUCGAGCACCAAGGGAAGUGCUGGAUGGAUGGGACACAUAAAAACGGCAGCACAAAACUCAGCAGCAAAAAUGAAAUAAGAGAUAAAAAUAGAACGAACUUAACGCUUCAACGCAACAAGAAUAACGAGAGGAGCAGGAAUAACCAACCAACCAACAACAAAAAAAAACUGCACACUGAUAGUAGUAGAAGCAAGACGGAAAAGAGGAACGAUGCUUUAAAAGAGCAAAAUUCGGCAUGAAAAAUCGGAUGGAUGUAAGCUGCGUGAAAUUUAAGAAGAUUUCGAAGGUUAUUUCCAACAGCAAACGCACGUUGAAGUGAUCACUAGCCAGAAGUUCUUUUGGUUGUGCAUUUGGUUUAAGGUCGUGCUGUUGCGGUAAAAUGGAGCUCAGAAAGUGCAUCAUUCAGUUUUUGGUUCUGAACUGUCCUUCAGCUUGACGCUCUUGGAAUGGAAUUCUAAUAUAAUACCACAUCGCUAGUGCUGGUGUGUGAAUGUCUGCAUCUUCUAAUGAUUUGUAGUGCCGACGAGAGCUAGUGUGUUUCCUGCGUGGCAUUACCCAUUCGGCAAAGAGGUCACACCGAAACGCUCCAAGACUGUGGCUGGAUCAAAUUCCACCCCGAACCAGAUGAUCAUUUGAACAGUAAAGCCCUCCGGGGCAAAUACUAUAGCGAGACACACACACACACGCACACGAAAGCAUAUGUUUUCUGGCUGCUGAACAACAUUCAGCACCGAUGUUAGGAACCGAGUACCUCACCCGAAGGAUUCUGGUCUGGUAAUGGUUCGGUAUCUGUGCUCAAUGUGAUCCUCGAUCCUCGAACAACGAGCGGCGGAAGGGGAACGGGGGUGCAAGAUGAACGGGCACGCUCGUGACCCGGGAUAUGUGGCCCCGGGGGAUCGGGUCCAAUGCCGAGGGAUGGGUAGGGAGUCGAAAGAAUCUAGCAUCUAGCGUGGCUAUAGAGUGCCCGCAAAUGGGACGAAUGCGAGUAGAAAAUGAAACAGGCAGACAACAACAAAAAAACCUUUAAACCCUACAGCAGCCAGCGUGUACGCAUAUCACCGUAGGCACCCGAACACUUUCCAUUAUGGAAACGUAGUGAAGCAAAAAUAACCCCCUGAAGAGAGUGCACCGUAGGGGCAAGAGCAAAAGAAACAGGGCACACAACACCUUCCUGAAAAGGUCUGAAUUCCGUCCGAUCGUGACGGGUGGGAACGGUUGGGAAUGGUACGAGGUGCGGUAGGCAUUUGCCCGGGCACCAGAGCACACACAAUGGGAAACCGAGGAAAAUAUCGAAGAUUACAAUUAUGUGAUCAAAAGAGACUUUCAAUUUUCCUCUUAUUCAUUAUGUCCGAUCACCGUGCCCGGAGUGUACCCUUUCUCGCGUUACCGCGAUGUUCUGCUUUCUUUAUCCAGAGUUCUGGCUCGCUGGGAGGGAUCGCAUUGCUCUCGGUGUCUCUAGUGGAAGACUCUAGUUGGAGUUUUCAGGUUCCGUUGGGUUCUGCCUUCCUUUUCCUCCCGUGCAAUUUGCUCCGACCUUGGGUCUUGCUUUGUCGUGGUCUAUCGUUCAAGUGAUGUUGUUGUUCCCCCGUUGAUGAUUUCUACCUGAGCUUAGCCUGAUGAAGAUUCACAGUUUUCUUUGGAAGGGUUUUUCAGCAUAGCUUCGUUCUACAAAACGCAAACUUCACCAAAUCAACGUAUCGAACUUCAGCAUAUGAUCCAGUAAGUUCGGCCUUCGAUCUCCUACCCCUAUACCUUCCCUUUAUUCCCUCCAAUGAAAGCUAUUCCCUACGCUAGCACGACCCUUCGACAACGAUCCCGCAAGGGGGUUCCAAUUUGUAAAAGAAAGCCUCUAUAACCCUCUCUCCCGAUCCCGGCAGGCAUCAUGUGCAAACAGCCAAAUGACAGACGCAGUGGUUCCCGCAGCGUCCCCGUUUCGUUCUGCCCGCCCCUUUCACUUUCCAGUUCCAACCACCCCGCAGGGGUCCCUCCAUCACACUGCUGGGUGUUAGCAGCAUUUGGGACCUCCUUAAGGUUUUGCCUUCCGAAGACACUCGUUUUCUUUGUCAGGAUGGGUCUAGGUUUGGCACUAUGUGUGUGUGUUUUUUGUGCCUUCUCCUUUAAGCAGACCUUCUUGGACCUGCGCGCGAGCAUUAGGCCUCAUACAAUCGAACACAGAAAAAAAAACCAGGGCACCAACAAUCCACGGGGUGACAUUGGUUGUGCGUACGGGAUUUUUUUUUUUUGUUUGGGAUGUUCGUGUGCCGGAUAGCCUUUUUAGGAAUUUCAUUAUUUUCAUGCUCUUGGGUUUGGUUUUCGUUUCGUUUCAUUUAAGUUUUUGUUACAGUUUUUUGUUGUUGUUGUUUUUGUAUUUUGUCUGUCUUCCUUAGCGUUCGAACUAGACGAAGAUCGCCCAACAACCAACAAAAAAACAAGAUCUCCUUAGCGAUCCCUUGCUGGUAGGAUUUUUGUUUUGCUUCGCUUCUUAUUAAAGCAGUUGAAGCUGGAGCGAACCGUUUUAGUUUUUUUUUUUCACGGACCCCUCGUUUCCUUAUGCCAGCAGCCGGAGAAUGUUGGGAACAUCCUUCCACGGCCCUCCUAGUCGGAUCUCGAUUGCUUUUUUGGCUGCCACAGGGCGAGACGCGUUUGCAAAUGCAACAAACCGAGGGCCCUUUGAUUGCGCAGCCCUCCUCUGGAUUUGGCACAAAACUGAACAAACGAACCACUAACGAACUCUGACGAGCUUUGAGCAACGGAAAAUGCUCGCUUUGCUUAUGCUCCCUCCAUUAUCUCUUUCACACACAGCGUACGCAAGCAAAAUUGUGAAAAAAGCCAUUAUACUUUGUAACUUUAGAGAGCAAAAAAAAAACUUAGAAUUGCACAAAACGAGAAGACGGGUGUGUUGCCGUCGGGUCUAGAACGCUUUUGUGUCACUUCUCUGGACCUGGAUUUUUUUGUUGUUGGUCGUACUCUGUUGGCUUUAUUGUCCUGCAAAACGGUUAAGGGGUUUCACUGCAUUCCCUGCCACUUCCAAGCGGAAGUGCACAGCGAGCCCAGCGGUGGUCCUGAUGCCUGCCAAGAGGCACACACGAUCACACAUUUGAUUUAAUUAUUGUGUAAUCGUUUCUUUGUGCGUUGAUGCAAUCUCGUUUGAACAAAAGCACUCGCUCUCUCCAUGCAUUCGAUGGCCUCUUCGAUGCCAGCAUAGAAUUGUGCCGAUUUCCAACCCCUUUUCGAAGUGAAAUACCCCCCGAUCAAGAAAUGCUUUCUCGUUACGCUUUUACUUGUACGAAGAUGUGGACGGCUGACAAUGUCCCGCACUCCGAGGCAAGUUGGACCUCGAACAAUCCGAUCGUUAAAUGCUGUGAACGAAAAGCUAAAGGAGUGUCAAAAAUCAAUUAUCACCGCAUGAAACCUGGCAAAGAUCCGGGUGUGGUGUCCAGCUCGGCGACACAGUCGGACUCUACGCUGUUUGAGCUCAGGAUCGGGCAUCCACAAAGGAAUCUCUGCCAGGAACGAGCAAAGGAAAACAAAGGCAACCAAAACAUUCGACCGUUCGUCACUUGGUCAACCGUAUUCCCUUAAGGUUUUUCGGGAAGUGUUGUCUGUCCUUUCGCUUUCGAAGAUCCAGUAGAGAAGAUCUCCUGAGGCAUGUUUUCGGGAUUGGGAAAUCUAAUCGCUGCGCACAGUACCAUGAAUUCGAUCUUCGCUUUUGGUGAUCAUUUUUCCUGCGAAAAGGCAAGAAUUGUGUUAGGGACCUGUCGUUCGGGACUUUGAGCGAUGUUUUCUCGGGACAUUCCUUCAAAUGCAGGGAUGUUCUUCCAGGAACUCCGGAUACCCGCUCUCGCCAGGAGAAUGUUUUGCAUCGGACUUUGGAAGGCUCACACUAGGCUUACUAGCGACGAUGAAAAUCCCUAACUGGAGGAGGUCAUCUUCGUUUGUCAGAUGGAUUGCUUAUACUUCAGACAGUUGCAUUCCCAGGACAUUUUCGAGGGAUUACUGAGCAAGCUGAGGUGUUGGAAUCGAAUGAAAUAAAAAAAAGGCAUCCUCACACACACAGACUCUACCGUGUAUCAAAAAACCAUUGCUGCCAUAUGCUGUUCCUGCCAGCUAUUGUUACCCUCCGAAAAACCUCGGACAACAGAUUUCGAUGGAUUUAGCUCCGUUGUUUUUUGCUGUUGUUGUUUGGCAUCGAAAUGCAGUCGACAAUUGCAGAUGCAGAUUGCAGCAACCACACACACACACACACAUACUGGCCAUACGGCAGCAGGUAAAUGUGGCAGGUCAAAGUCUCCGCCCGGCUUCCCAGAGUCCCGUCAAGUUAGCAACAGUUCCAUCAGUUCCGCGUGCAAACCGACCGGAUGGUCAAUGUGCUAUUUGGUACGGGGUUCAGCGUCGUCGUGGUCGUUUUGUUUUUUGCUUUGUUUGACUGGGUCGCAGUUUCUUUCUUAUAUCUGUGCCCGUCUGCGUCCGUCUGCUGCAUCUUGCAUGGAAAUGUGCACUUUCAGCUUCAUUUGUAUUCGCCAAGGACGACCACACGGUGCACGGUGCUGUGGUGGGAUUUUUUUCCGGUUUCUGCUCGCUCUCGGUGUUGCCGGUUGUCGAUGAGGUCAUCGAAAUCGAAUUCGUCACGCAUACGCCAUAUGUGUGUGUCGCUGCGUUCGGAAGAUCCGUAUGCACUCCGGGAAGCAGCAGCAGCAGAAGAUGAGGUAGAAGAACAAAGGGGUCAUUGAUUGUAAAUCGGUUCUUUUUUGCUCUUCUUCAUCGUAUGAAAACGCAUUGCACCAAAUGACAUUUAAUUGGAUUUUAUUCCGUUACACUCCGGGCUUAAGUAGCGUACACUGCUUCGAACGGGGAGACGUCUGCGAUCGAGGGUAAAGAUUUAUGUCUAACCUGAAACCGUUUCCGGAAUCGUACCAACAACACACGCACACGUUAAGGAGGUAAAUUAAUCACUUGGCCACAAAUAAUUAGUGCCG